rnacentral:tRNA from 1 species
GGGGACGUGGCGAAACUGGUAGCCGCAUUUGCUCGGGAAGCUUACGGUCGAAAGAUCAUGCGGGUUCGAAUCCCGUCGUCCCCA